GUGAUUGUAGUUUAGUGGUAAGAAUUCUAUCUUGUCGCGGUGCAUACCUGGUUUCGAAUCGCAGCAGAUACA